AUGUCUGUGGUACUCAUUCUUCUAAGUGCUUUAUAUUUAUAAUCUCUCAUAACCCUGUUCCAAUUCUGUGAUAUAGUUAUUAGGAUCAUCACUUAAAAUGGGACAGAAGCUGGGGCUCAGCUUAGUUGCCUAAGGUUUCAAAGCCAAUAGUUGCUGGGAUCAUAACUUGAAGCCAUAUUUCAUAAACUCUGAAACUUACAUGUUGUUGCUUAAUUCCUACAUUGUAAUGCUUCUCUAUACAGUUCAUUGGUUCUGUUCUCACAUAGCUUACAGACAACUGGAAAGAUAGCAAAUUUAAUCAAGUGCAGGAUCAGAGAUUAGCAAGAGACAACAUGGAACACAGAGAAGGCCAUUGAUGUCAGAGGGGAAGUAUGAAGAUUAGCAAUGGCUCCUCAGGGGAGGAGUCACAAAUUGAGAACUGAAGGAUAAGUGGAAGUCUACUGAUGAAGCAAGGGGCAUCACCUAGGCAGAGGUACAGCAAGUACAAAGACCUGGGGAUGGGAAGCAGCCCAACACAUUCAAGGAACUAUCAUGUUCCCUGCUCCUAAGUCGGUGGGAUGUCAGAGAAGGAGGAUCCCUGAAGCAGAAGAGACAACAAAGACCCCCUGAAAACCGUCGACGAGAUUGUGUGUUUGGGAACGGAAAACCUCCUUAGAUGAUUAAAAGCAUUUCUGCGACUGCGGUUUCUGAGCUCGAAGUCUUUCCCUCUCCCAGCGCCGCGCACGCCCCGCCCGGUGCCCGGUAGUAACCCCGAGACUCGCGGCGGCCUCGGCCGUCCUCAACAUAGCCAUUUGAGAAGUGGAAAGAAAAAAAAAAAAGAAUGUGUUCCUUUUCACUUCAAACCUGUUGUUAGGUUCGGGCCCCUCCCUGACAGAACUGGGAAUAUUAACUUUGUGCCUAUGUGGCUUUUCCGCGGGCGUGUGCUCCAUUCAGAAACCCAGGACUCCUUUCCUAACCGCGUUUUGAGAAAAACGAUGAACUGAGAGGACAGAGCUGAAUCGGGGCCAGCUGUAGAAGAAGGUGGAACGUGAAGAUGUCUGAUAGGAGGUGGAUGAGAAAUUAAGAGGAGUCCGCCGAGGCAGGGAGAUGCUCAGGGGGCCUCGGUCGCCACCAUCCCCCUCCCUAGUCUGAGAUUGUGCCUAGCCCCUUACAGACCCAGAUAUUAGCGCACAUCCGCAAAGCCCAUACCCUUCAUUUCAGAAGGGAACAGAAACCAACAGAAAAUAAACGCUCUGGCCACCCCACUGCGACUGGGAGCGAGCUGUGCGCAGGCGCACUGGGUUCCGCGUUUGCCCUCGAGUUACCCAGCGCGGCUAGCCCGGCGAACUAGGUGAAAGGUAACUAGCAGACGCUGCUCCGGGCUGCUGCCCCGGCGCGCGUGUGCUGGCAGGCGGGCUGGCGCGGGCCUGGUAGCUGCUUCCCUCCGUCGCAGAUUUCUCCAAGUCUGCACGUCAUGGAGCUGCGGGGGUGGCAGGGAGCGGCUCAAGAGGCAGCUGAGCGGCCGGGCAUCGAGCAGAUUUGGAAAAUGCUUGUCACUCAGUCUUGCAUGGGGAAAUGAGUUCCAGGCAUGGUGCAGGGGAGAAAACCACCCCCUGAGCGCCAUGCAUGUGGUGGACACCGAGCUGGGUGUUAUCUUCAUUCUUGCAUUCCAACAGACAAGAGACCAGCAGAGUUGAGAUCGUGUGUCCCAUUUCAGAGGGAUAAAAACCUCAAGGUCAAGUUCCCCCACCCACUGUCCCAGAGACCUAUGUGAGAGCUUCAAGCUUUAUGGGAUGAGCUGACCAGGCAUGAGGAAGACAACGAUGUUUUCAUCAUUGGAGGUUUCCACUGAUGUUUCCAUUACAGAAGUAUAAAGUGACCCUCCCACCCCUUCUAGCAGAUAUAUGUCUUGUUAGCUCAUCCAGUGGAAGAAGGACAUGGCAACCCAUUCCAUUAUUCUUGCCUAGAGAAUCCCGUGGACAGAGGAGCCUGGUGGGCUGCUGUCCAUGGGGUUGCACAGAGCCGGACACGACUGAAGCGACAUAGCAGCAGCAGCAGCAGCAGCUCAUCCAGGGCAAGGACAGAGUGCGCUGUUCAUGGUUUGUUGAAAAUGGUGUUUAUUGGGUGAGUUUAUAACUGACUGAACACAUGUUCAACCCCAGACUAGACCAGAGGGAAAUUGCAAUAGUGUCUGGCAAAAGGUGAAGGGACUGUUUUCCUGUGACUCUUCCCAGAGGAGAACUCUUGCUUUCAUUCAACACACAUACUGAGCCUGAGCACCCACACUGCUGUACACACAGGUGGAAAACAGGAUGGGGGCUUCAAAGGGCAGGAAUGCCUUGCUUUCCUGAAAAUUCCAUUCUGAGUCCUAGACAUCUGGGAAUUGGCCAACCUCCAUGCAUGUGGAAACCAUUGUAUUUCCUGUCAGCUCAAAAGUGCAUCUCCCAGGGAAGAGCAUGGAAGCAAAUCACACUCCUCCUACCCCCACCUGCCUCAGAAUCAGAAAAAUGAUAGCAGCUCAGCUCCUCUCCACAAGAGGCCUGGGAAACAGGCAACUGCUGAAAGGGAAGUGCAAGGGGAGCAGAAAAGGCUGCAGAUCUGCCAGUCAGCCCCCUCCCACCCUCAUCUCUUUCCAAGAACCCCCUUCCUUAAGUGUUCAGUCAGGGAAUUGGAAUGUCACCGCCUUGUGCUCCAAGACUGCGCUGCUGCUCAGGCUGAUAAAGACAAAGGCUGUGAUUGGACUGUGUUUUGCCCUAACGUAACCCUGCAUCACAGCCUCCCCGAGGUGACUAGGGGAGAUCAUGUGCUGCCCGAUGUUGUCAAGAUGCCUCUGAACCGCCUGCCUGGUGGUGUUGGCAGGAAGAAAGCUGCUUGGGGACUGACAUCAUCAGCUCAUGUGCUGAGAACAUUGGCCACAGUGAGCCCUUUGCUAGAAUAAACACUUUUACUUAAAUUCCCAUAUGAUCCUCCACAGAUCUACACAGUAAUCCCCAUUUUGCACAGGAUAAAACUGAGACUCUUGAGAGGGUAAAUGGUUUCCUGACAUCACACAAUCUGCAAAAGGCAUGGCUGAAACUCAACUUUUCUUACUGCUGUAUGCAUUUGACCCUAAUUGUCCCCUCCUCACCCAGUGGGGCAGGUACUUGGGGCUGGUUGGGAAAACUGCUGCUAAAUUUCUUUCUUCCCUAAUUAUCCCGGAGGUAGUUCAAUAAAAUGUACAGCAAAUGAAAA